UGGGUAACCUGCCUCAAAGAGGGGAAUAGCCUCCCGAAAGGGAGAUUAAUACCGCAUAAUAUGUUUAAGUCGCAUGACUUUAACAUCAAAGGAUUUUCUUUUAGAAAUUCCACUUUGAGAUGGACCCGCGGCGCAUUAGCUAGUUGGUGAGGUAACGGCUCACCAAGGCAACGAUGCGUAGCCGACCUGAGAGGGUGAUCGGCCACAUUGGAACUGAGACACGGUCCAGCUUCGUAGGAG
rnacentral:rRNA from 1 species